AGGAGAAACAUCUGAUCCGAGGUCCUGAUACAAUCCCAGGAGGAUAACACACAGCCUCCGGUAUACAUACUUUCUGAUGUCUUGAGAAAGGCUUUUACUAAAGGCGAAACAUCAACUUUGUGAAUAGGUUUUGAUGAAGCAUGAAUAAAAAGAAUUUCAAGGA